rnacentral:rRNA from 1 species
UACGUAGGCAGCGAGCGUUGUUCGGAGUUACUGGGCGUAAAGGGUGUGUAGGCGGUUGCUUAAGUUUGGUGUGAAAUCUCCCGGCUCAACUGGGAGGGUGCGCCGAAUACUGAGUGACUCGAGUGCGGGAGAGGAGAGUGGAAUUCCUGGUGUAGCGGUGAAAUGCGUAGAUAUCAAGCGGAACACCGGUGGCGAAGGCGGCCUUCUGGACAGUGACUGACGCUGAGACGCGAAAGCGUGGGGAGCAAACAGG